rnacentral:rRNA from 1 species
CAGUCGCCGCGGUAAUACGUAGGUGGCAAGCGUUGUCCGGAAUUAUUGGGCGUAAAGGGCUCGCAGGCGGUUUCCUAAGUCUGAUGUGAAAGCCCCCGGCUCAACCGGGGAGGGUCAUUGGAAACUGGGAAACUUGAGUGCAGAAGAGGAGAGUGGAAUUCCACGUGUAGCGGUGAAAUGCGUAGAGAUGUGGAGGAACACCAGUGGCGAAGGCGACUCUCUGGUCUGUAACUGACGCUGAGGAGCGAAAGCGUGGGGAGCGAACAGGAUUAGAUACCCGUGUAGUCCCUGUCUCUUAUAC